CAGUCGACUGCAUGACGUUUCAGAUGCAAGUAACAUCCAACCGAAAUUCCCAACCCUGGCAAACCCUAAGCCCUAAUUUUUAAAAUUCUGUAACUUUUUUUUUUGUUAAUGAAAAUUCUGUAACUUUUCCUCUUUCGUGUUUAGUUUCCAAUUCAUUGUUGAGUUAUAGGAACAUCCCUGUAACAUUGCCCUCGUGAGUUGAUUUUAUACGCCUGCAAAUGCAAUCGGGUAUUCGUUGAUUUUAUGAAUCUUUUAUUAAAUUUAUGCUGCCCUCGUGAGUUGAUUUUAUACGCCUGCAAAUGCAAUCGGGUAUUCGUUGAUUUUAUGAAUCUUUUAUUAAAUUUAUGCUGCCCUCGUGAGUUGAUUUUAUACGCCUGCAAAUGCAAUCGGGUAUUCGUUGAUUUUAUGAAUCUUUUAUUAAAUUUAUGCAAUUUGUAGACUUUUCGAUUUUACGAUUCUCUUUUAGUUUUGUCGACUCAAAGUUCGCGAAUUUUGCUAUUAGGGUUCUUAGUUGAAGUUUGUAACCUAUGGCGCAAACAUAAUGCUGAGUUGAAGAUAAUGGGUGUAAGAUUUGAUGCUGUAAGGUUGUGGUUUUGUUGUUCGGAAAUCAAUGAAUCUAUAGCAAUCUUAUGGAAGUCACUUUUAUUGAUGUGACAAAUUUUGUGGCUAUAUAAGCAAGAAUGGAGAUACUCUGCUUUUUAACUUGAAUGAGAUUGAUAUGUUUUAGCUCUGUGUAUGGUUCCAUUUUUGCUAUGAGAUAAUAAAGUUAUUUUGAGUGUUGCGCUUAGAUGGAAGCAAAUAAUGCAAAUAUAUCCUCUUUAGUGGAAGCCCAUGAACAUAUCAAACAAUAUAUACCACGGAAUUCCUGUGCUUGUGUCCUUAUCUUUGGAUUCUAUCUCCGGAAGAAACCUGUUCUUUAAGUGCAAGUGCUUUCAGAAGUUGCGAGAGUAUUAAAUGUGGUGCAUAUAAACGCGGAAUUGCCUGCAAUGCCGUUUUGACACUUGAUACUGAGCAAGCAGGCAAAGGGCCAGUCGUGAGAGAUCUCGUAGAUGAUGUGAUACCUGUGAAAGACUUGGGCAUGCAUAAUCGAAGUGAUGAGACUCUGCUUUGAGAUUCUGAAAUUUUCUGUGGAACCCAGUGGGGCCUUUGGCCUCUAGCAGCAGUUUUCUAGAAGAUUUAACAGCAUUGAGCAACACUUAUUGGCAGGAUUGCAAGAACAUUAGGAUUUGUUCUGUCAGGAGGUUUCCUCAUAUGUGGCAUCUACUUUUUGCGAUUGGAAGAACGGAGUUGAAGGAGCCAUGACUGUAAGCUAGGGUAAUAUGGGGUUCUUGUCUUCGUUGGAGAGAUGUGCAACAAGAGAGACUCAUCGUCUGGAGAAUGGGAUAAGUUUGGGCCUCGGAUUCUUGACAAGAUAUUUACUGUGGAACAUAAUGGACCUGAUCUCGAGUGUCUCUAUGACAAUUUGAAACCCCACAGUUGCCAAUAUGCGUGGUCAGAUGACGAUUCAAAGGACAGGCCGCCGCAUAUUUGAAGACUAUCUUAAGGAUGAGUUGCAAUAAUUCUUCUAUGUUCCAUUAAAGAAUGAACAUUUUUGCUCUUGCUUCUGAAAGAUUUCCAAAUCUGAGACAGUUUGUUCUAUUGGCUUACAAUAAUCCCACGCUAAACGGAUUCAGUAAUGCUGUCCAUAGAUGGCAAAGUCUUGAACAUUUAACCCUACCUGCCUUUUCCCGAUAGUUUGAUGAGGGUUAUCGGGGAGAACUGCAGGAAAGUCUCUGUUAAGAUUCACAUGCCUGUUUAGCUUAGAAAUGGAGAGCACUAUCGGGACUUAUCUCCCAAACUCAAAUGCCCGAGCGACUGAGUCUCAGGUCUUCGUUUGAGAAGUUCAACUUUUUAACAGAGAACUCGGACCUUCGAAGACCGAGACUUGUCUCAUCUGCAACAGCAACAGAGAUGGUUGUCUCUGCCAGAAACUGCCCCAUGAGCAGGGUUAUGAUUGCUUGCUGGGUAUGGAGUUUAUGUUUUCAGUUUGCCCUUAUCAGACCAACAAUAUGAGUGUUUCCAUCUUUAGUCUCACCCUUUCUGGAUCCUCUCUUCUGGUUCUGUGUUUCUAUGUUUCUGUCCUUGUCUAGGCCUAAGGACACGUUUUACUUACUUGUUCGAAGAAUUGUCAGAGACCUACCUAUGCAUACCUCAUAUCACGUUUCUUGCGCUUUAA